CCGGGUAUGGUGUAAUGGUAACAUCGCCGACCCCCUGCUCAAAUCGGCCGUUCGGGGUUCAAGUCCUCGUACCCGCG